rnacentral:rRNA from 1 species
CUGGCUCAGGAUGAACGCUAGCUACAGGCUUAACACAUGCAAGUCGAGGGGCAGCAUGAAACUUAGCUUGCAAGUUUGAUGGCGACCGGCGCACGGGUGAGUAACACGUAUCCAACCUACCGUUUACUACGGGAUAGCCUUCUGAAAAGGAGAUUAAUACCGUAUGGUAUUCUAAAGUUUCAUGACAUUAGAAUUAAAGGUUUACCGGUAAUCGAUGGGGAUGCGUUCCAUUAGAUAGUAGGCGGGGUAACGGCCCACCUAGUCAGCGAUGGAUAGGGGUUCUGAGAGGAAGGUCCCCCACAUUGGAACUGAGACACGGUCCAAACUCCUACGGGAGGCAGCAGUGAGGAAUAUUGGUCAAUGGGCGAGAGCCUGAACCAGCCAAGUAAGCGUGAAGGAUGACUGCCCUAUGGGUUGUAAACUUCUUUUAUAAAGGAAUAAAGUGGUCCACGUGUGGAUUUUUGUAUGUACUUUAUGAAUAAGGAUCGGCUAACUCCGUGCCAGCAGCCGC